rnacentral:rRNA from 1 species
UACGUAGGGUGCGAGCGUUGUCCGGAAUUAUUGGGCGUAAAGAGCUCGUAGGCGGUGUGUCACGUCGGCCGUGAAAACCUGCAGCUUAACUGUGGGCGUGCGGUCGAUACGGGCAUCACUGGAGUUCGGCAGGGGAGACUGGAAUUCCUGGUGUAGCGGUGAAAUGCGCAGAUAUCAGGAGGAACACCGGUGGCGAAGGCGGGUAUCUGGGCCGAUACUGACGCUGAGGAGCGAAAGCGUGGGGAGCAAACAGG